GAUGUUUUGUGCUUCUUCACAUAUCAACAGUUGAACAGGUGAUGACGUUUCCUGUAGUUUUUUCCCAGAGGAGGAAGACUGUGGCAGCUGUUCCACACCAGGAUGGAGCAAGCGGAGUACUCCAGUGCAUCAGAAAGGUACUCCACGCCACCAUGUGGAGGACUGCUACAUAGGUAUGUGUGGGUUCAUUAACUUAACCCAGAUGCUUUACUUGUUAUUAAAGUAUGCUGCUUCCAAUUUAAUUUGUCAAUUUCAAUUUAUUUUUAAGGGCAAGAAGGCAGAGGUAGGGGG